rnacentral:snRNA from 1 species
GGCUAUGAGGGCAAUCUGGUUGUGACAUCUAUCACUCCAUUGAUUGCCAGGUUGAUUCAGUUGAUCUGGCUGCCUAGUGAGUCAUCCCUUCUUUCCUCAUUGCUCCAUGUGUUUCCUUUCCAUGAAGUAGAAAAGAAUGACCAUUCCAAAUAGGACUAUACCAAUUCUGUACAGAUAUUCUGUAGCUACACUCCAUUGCUACAGUCUGCAAUGGACUUUUCCAGUUGUUCAGGCUGGUUCCACUUUGAUAGUUCAUAAUUCUAAAUUAUUCAUUUGGAAUUU